AGAGGAAUAACAUUUGGAAACGAAUGGUAAUACCACAUAACAUUACGUUCUCGCAUGGGGAUGUAAUCAAAGAUUUAUCGCUGAGAGAUGGACUCGCGUCCGAUUAGCUGGAUGGUGAGGUAACGGCCCACCAUGGCGACGAUCGGUAGCCGGACUGAGAGGUUGAACGGCCACAUUGGGACUGAGACACGGCCCAGACUCCUACGGGAGGCAGCAGUGGGGAAUAUUGCACAAUGGGGGAAACCCUGAUGCAGCAACGCCGCGUGAAGGAAGACGGUCUUCGGAUUGUAAACU
rnacentral:rRNA from 1 species